AUACGUACUGUGCGAACGUUAUUCGGAAUCACUGGGCUUAAAGGGUGUGCAGGCGGCCGAUCAAGUCAGGUGUGAAAGUCCUCGGCUCAACCGGGGAAUGGCGCUUGAAACUGAUCGGCUUGAGUGAGAUAGGGGUGUGCGGAACUUCCAGUGGAGCGGUGAAAUGUGUUGAUAUUGGAAGGAACGCCGGUGGCGAAAGCGGCACACUGGGUCUCAACUGACGCUCAGGCACGAAAGCCAGGGUAGCGAACGGGAUUAGAAACCCGGGUAGUCC
rnacentral:rRNA from 1 species